rnacentral:tRNA from 3 species
GCCGCCGUGGCGGAAUGGCAGACGCACUUGACUCAAAAUCAAGCGGGAAACCGUGCCGGUUCGAGUCCGGCUGGCGGCA